rnacentral:rRNA from 1 species
UAGGGAAUCUUCCACAAUGGACGAAAGUCUGAUGGAGCAACGCCGCGUGAGUGAAGAAGGGUUUCGGCUCGUAAAACUCUGUUGUUAAGGAAGAACAUAUCUGAGAGUAACUGUUCAGGUAUUGACGGUAUUUAACCGGAAAGCCACGGCUAACUACGUGCCAG